rnacentral:tRNA from 1 species
GCUGAUAUAGCUCAGAUGGUAGAGCGCAUCCUUGGUAAGGAUGACGGUCGGCAGUUCGAUUCUGCCUAUCAGCACCA